AACGAACGCUGGCGGCAUGCCUAACACAUGCAAGUCGAACGAUCCCUUCGGGCUUAGUGGCGCACGGGUGCGUAACGCGUGGGAACCUGCCCUUAGGUUCGGAAUAACUCAGAGAAAUUUGAGCUAAUACCGGAUAAUGUCUUCGGACCAAAGGUUUAUCGCCUUUGGAUGGGCCUGGGUUGGCUCAGUUUGUUGUGGGGGUAAAGGCCUACCAAGGCGACGUUCCAUAGCUGGUUUGAGAGGAAGAUCAGCCACACUGGGAUUGAGACACGGCCCAGACUCCUGCGGGAGGCAGCAGAGGCGAAUAUUGGACAGUGGGCGAAGGCCUGAUGCAGCAAUGCCGGGUGAGUGAUGAAGGCCUGAGGGUUGUAAAGCACUUUUACCCGGGAUGAUAAUGACAGUACCGGGAGAAUAAGCCCCGGCUAACUCCGUG
rnacentral:rRNA from 1 species